rnacentral:rRNA from 1 species
UACGGAACAGGCAAGCGUUGUUCGGAAUCACUGGGCUUAAAGCGCGUGUAGGCGGAGUGAUGGGUGCUUUGUGAAAUCCCUCGGCUCAACCGAGGAAUUGCUUGGCAAACCGGCACUCUUGAGGCAGGUAGAGGUAACUGGAACCAUUGGUGGAGCGGUGAAAUGCGUAGAGAUCAAUGGGAACGCCGGUGGCGAAAGCGAGUUACUGGGCCUGUUCUGACGCUGAGACGCGAAAGCGUGGGUAGCAAACAGG